AAGACAUUAGUAAAGUAAAUUACACCACCUUGUCAAGGUGGAAUCGUAGGUUGAACCCCUGCAUGUUUUA
rnacentral:tRNA from 1 species